GUAAGGUAGAAGUGGCUGGAAUAAGUAGUGUAGCGGUGAAAUGCAUAGAUAUUACUUAGAACACCAAUUGCGAAGGCAGGUCACUAUGUCUUAACUGACGCUGAUGGACGAAAGCGUGGGGAGCGAACAGGAUUAGAUACCCUGGUAGUCCACGCCGUAAACGAUGCUAACUCGUUUUUGGGGCUUUAUGCUUCAGAGACUAAGCGAAAGUGAUAAGUUAGCCACCUGGGGAGUACGUUCGCAAGAAUGAAACUCAAAGGAAUUGACGGGGGCCCGCACAAGCGGUGGAUUAUGUGGUUUAAUUCGAUGAUACGCGAGGAACCUUACCAAGGCUUAAAUGGGAAUUGAUCGGUUUAGAAAUAGACCUUCCUUCGGGCAAUUUUCAAGGUGCUGCAUGGUUGUCGUCAGCUCGUGCCGUGAGGUGUUAGGUUAAGUCCUGCAACGAGCGCAACCCCUGUCACUAGUUGCCAUCAUUAAGUUGGGGACUCUAGUGAGACUGCCUACGCAAGUAGAGAGGAAGGUGGGGAUGACGUCAAAUCAUCACGGCCCUUACGCCUUGGGCCACACACGUAAUACAAUGGCCGGU
rnacentral:rRNA from 1 species